rnacentral:lncRNA from 1 species
CAGGACACAGGUCAUGUUACAUUUAGGCUUUGAGGCUCUUAACUCUAGAGGGUGCCAUCAGCUAGGCACCAGGUGGAAGGGCUACAUGGGUGAGUGUGUGGAAAACUUCUUUGGAAAAGUCCACGAGGAAUACACUGCUGUAAAGGUAGGUCUGUGGGGCUCAGAUCACCCUAGGUCUGGACUCCGGAGACCAGAGGAGGAGAAAACUCUGAACUGUGUUGACAAGUGAGGAAGAUAUGCCUCUGAACGAUGCCUGGAGCAGAGGACGGUGGGGCAGUACUUUAGGUAAUUCAAGACGAGCUUUGCAAGGAGCAGAGAAGACUCUUCUGGGCCCUGGAAAAGCUGAUAGGGACAAGUUCAUGCCUAGUUUCUUCAUACCAGAUUAUUUUGAGGUCCAUUUGGAAGUUGUGUUGGAAUAAGAUUACAUUUGGGCUGUGCCAGAAGGCAUUUUGAUUAUUCUCUUGGCACAGGUGACACAGAAUCCAUUGCUUCAGAGCCUCUCUUCCAGUUCCUAUUUCCACUGUAUAGAGGAGCAUUUACUUGCUGAAGAUCUGAAACAGAGGCCAUGCAACCUGAGAAACACAGCACAGAGUGGUGAGUUGGGACCCACAUGAGGAGGCAAGUUUCUGCUAGAAGUAAAGUGUGAACAUAGUGACCUUGAUUAUGGGUUAGAUCAGAGGGCAAUUCUAUGCUCAGGAUUAAGAAAUUAUAUCAACUCAUAUUCUCACACAUUUCCCUGUCUUCACAUCUUGCCUCAAAGCCAGCUGGACUUGGAAUGAAAAAAGCCAUUUUUUUUUCUCCAAAUAAGUCAUUAAAAUUUAUUUAGUGAGUACCUACUAUGUAAAA